UGAGAUACGGCCCAGACUCCUACGGGAGGCAGCAGUGGGGAAUAUUGCACAAUGGGCGCAAGCCUGAUGCAGCGACGCCGCGUGGGGGAUGACGGCCUUCGGGUUGUAAACUCCUUUCGCCAAGGACGAAGAGAACAUUGGCGGUACUUGGAGAAGAAGCACCGGCUAACUACGUGCCAGCAGCCGCGGUAAUACGUAGGGUGCGAGCGUUGUCCGGAAUUACUGGGCGUAAAGAGCUCGUAGGUGGUUUGUCGCGUCGUUUGUGUAAGUCCGCAGCUUAACUGCGGGACUGCAGGCGAUACGGGCAUAACUUGAGUGCUGUAGGGGAGACUGGAAUUCCUGGUGUAGCGGUGGAAUGCGCAGAUAUCAGGAGGAACACCGAUGGCGAAGGCAGGUCUCUGGGCAGUAACUGACGCUGAGGAGCGA
rnacentral:rRNA from 1 species